GACGGCUGCGCGAGAAUGAAGAGCAUACCGCGUGAGGGAUGAAGGCCCGUGGGUCGUAAACCUCUUUUUUCAAGGAGGAAGUUCUGACGUGUACUUGAAGAAUAAGCAUCGGCUAACUCCGUGCCAGCAGCCGCGGUAAGACGGAGGAUGCGAGUGUUAUCCGGAAUUACUGGGCGUAAAGCGUCUGUAGGUGGUUUAGUAAGUCGAUUGUUAAAGCUUGGGGCUUAACUCCAAAACAGCAAUGGAAACUGCUAGACUUGAGUAUGGUAGAGGUAAAAGGAAUUUCCAGUGGAGCGGUGAAAUGCGUAGAUAUUGGAAAGAACACCGAUGGCGAAGGCAUUUUACUGGGCCAUAACUGACACUCAGAGACGAAAGCUAGGGUAGCAAAUGGGAUUAGAUACCCCCUGUAGUACAA
rnacentral:rRNA from 1 species